CUUCUUCUUCGGGCUCUAUCUGGUUGUUUUGGGGACUGGUGGGAUCAAACCUUGUGUUGAUCAGUACUGCCUUGAUGAUUUAGGAGCUGGCAGAACCAUCAAUAAGAGAUGCAUUUGUUUCUUGCAUUCAACAAGGUGCAGAUCGUGUGAUUGUAAGCCCAUUUUUUCUCUUCCCUGGACGACACUGGCAUCAGGAUAUUCCUUCGUUAGCUGCUGAAGCUGCAAAAGAACACCGUGAUGUGUCAUAUAUC